GCGUCGGUAAUUUAGGGGUAGAAUUUCGCCCUUCCAAGGCGAAUACCUGGGUUCAAAUCCCAGCCGACGCA
rnacentral:tRNA from 1 species